AAGUUAUCUAAAUUUUCCCCCUUUUUCUUCCCUCUCUUGUGCAAUACACAGAGAACCAAAUUUCCCCUGGGUCUUCUAGUCGAUCGACUUUUGUGCAUCUGCUCUGCAACUUUGGUAUCUCCGCCUCCCUCGUCGGCUCCUCUCUCUUGUGUUGCACCUAAUGGAUGUAUAAGACAAGAUUGGCCAACUUUGGAGAUAGUCAACACUAAGAGGAACGGGAAGGUUGGUCCUCCUCGGACUAUGGGGGAGAUGUUACGCAACAAAAUUUUUGCUCAGGCAACAUGGGUGCCUCUCCUUCAAAGCUAUUGUCUCAGGUUCCUAUGUCACAGCCAUCAUCGCUGCUAUUAAACCACAACAGAUACCAUCACUGCAUUCACAGCUGCCCCCACCACAAUAGCCCUCAUUGAGGAAUUCAUGCUCCCCACACGUAAGACAUUGAAUUGUGAGAGUCUAUCGGAGAUGACAACACACCUUUGGAGCAAAGUCAUAGGGCACGGCCAAUUUCUUUAGGACUUGAUGACCAUGUUAGAACAUAAGCGUUCUUUCAAAAUUCUAGUAUUCCAAAAGUUGACGUAGAAGGUAUUCUUAUUACCAUGGAUAGCACAACAGAAUCAGACUGAAAGCCGAUAGGCGAAGGUUAUUGUAAGGCACUUGUUACUAAAGCAAUAAACCCUUAAUAUUUCGUUGGAAAGACCUUGUCGAGGUAUACAAGCAAUUGCAGAUGCUGUUGGGGGAUACAUUGCUUGGCGUGCUUGUGAUGAUGGCAUUGAGGUAGCUGUUCGGAAUGUGUAUGAUGCUUUUGCUUAGAUGAAGUCUUUGCAGGGUGGUUUAAAGAAGAGCUCAACUAGUUUUUUCGGUGCUGAUGCUUGGUGUAAGGAGUCUUGGGAAGGUGUUGUUGCAUGGGUUUUGGAUGGUGCUGAUGAUAGAGGUGGGACGCUUAAGGUGUAUGCAUGCUUGGCGUUUAUGGUGGAAGCUAUAGCUGUGUUGAAGGCUUUGGAGUGGGCGUGGAACAGGGGAUGGAGAAGUGUUGAAGUCCUCACGGAUUGCCUUCAGCUUCUUGUUCUUAUCUUCUAUUAGUAAUGCGGAUAUGUAUGCUAUGCCUGCUUUGUUUCAUAUUUUAUCCUUAGCGUGUCGUUUUUCUUCAGUUUCUGUAAUUAAAGUGUCAAGACAAGCCGUUGGAGCGGCACACGCUCUGGCCAAAUCUGUACUCUGUUAAUUACUAAUUGGCUUUAA